AGUGAACGCUGGCGGUAGGCCUAACACAUGCAAGUCGAACGGCAGCACAGGAGAGCUUGCUCUCUGGGUGGCGAGUGGCGGACGGGUGAGGAAUACAUCGGAAUCUACUCUGUCGUGGGGGAUAACGUAGGGAAACUUACGCUAAUACCGCAUACGACCUACGGGUGAAAGCAGGGGACCUUCGGGCCUUGCGCGAUUGAAUGAGCCGAUGUCGGAUUCGCUAGUUGGCGGGGUAAAGGCCCACCAAGGCGACGAUCCGUAGCUGGUCUGAGAGCAUGAUCAGCCAAAGUGUAACGUAGACAGGGGACAGACUCCUACGGGAGGCAGCAGUGGGGAAUAUUGGACAAUGGGCGCAAGCCUGAUCCAGCCAUACCGCGUGAGUGAAGAAGGCCUUCGGGUUGUAAAGCCCUUUUGUUGGGAAAGGAAUCCAGCUGGCUAAUACCCGGUUGGGAUGACGGUACCCAAAGAAUAAGCACCGGCUAACUUCGUGCCAGCCGCCGCCGUAA
rnacentral:rRNA from 1 species